rnacentral:rRNA from 1 species
UACGAAGGGGGGCUAGCGUUGCUCGGAAUGACUGGGCGUAAAGGGCGCGUAGGCGGUUUGUACAGUCAGAUGUGAAAUUCCUGGGCUCAACCUGGGGGGCUGCAUUUGAUACGUGCGGACUUGAGUGAGGAAGAGGGUCGUGGAAUUCCCAGUGUAGAGGUGAAAUUCGUAGAUAUUGGGAAGAACACCGGUGGCGAAGGCGGCGACCUGGUCCUUGACUGACGCUGAGGCGCGAAAGCGUGGGGGAGCAAACAGG